GCCAGGCAUGGUGGCACACACCUGUAAUUAAAACUACCAGGCAAGCCAAGGUUGGCAAAUCUCUUCAGCUUGGAAGUUCUGAGCUGCAGUAGGCUAUGCCAGUAGGGUGUCUGCAGCAAAUUUGACAUUGAUAUGGUGAGCCCGUGGGAGCAGGGAACCACCAAUUUGACUAAGGAAGAGCCAAACAGCCCAGGUCAGAAACAGAGCAGGCCAAAGUUCUGUACUAAUCAAUAAAGGGGUCUGGCCCAUGAGUAGGCCCUACAUUUCCAGCCUGGUCAAGAUAAGGGAGAACCAAUCUUU
rnacentral:SRP_RNA from 1 species